rnacentral:tRNA from 1 species
GGAAAGGUGUCCGAGUGGUUUAAGGUGACGGUCUUGAAAACCGUUGUACAGUAAUGUACCGGAGGUUCGAAUCCUCUCCUUUCCGCCA